CAGCAGCCGCGGUAAUUCGUAGGGAGCAAGCGUUGUUCGGAAUUAUUGGGCGUAUAGAGCGCGUAGGCGGUUCGGUAAGUCUGACGUGAAAUCCCGGAGCUUAACUCCGGAACUGCGUUGGAUACUGCCGAGCUUGAGUGUGGGAGAGGAGAGUGGAAUUCCCAGUGUAGAGGUGAAAUUCGUAGAUAUUGGGAGGAACACCCGUGGCGAAGGCGGCUCUCUGGACCACAACUGACGCUGAGGCGCGAAAGCUAGGGUAGCAAACGGGAUUAGAUACCCCGGUAGUCCUAGCCGUAAACGAUGGGCACUAGGUGUUGGAGGUAUCGACCCCUCCAGUGCCGCAGCUAACGCAUUAAGUGCCCCGCCUGGGGAGUACGGUCGCAAGACUAAAACUUAAAGGAAUUGACGG
rnacentral:rRNA from 1 species